CUGGUAUAAUUACUCUAUGUUUUCCUCUGCAUACACACUAAACCUUUUUAACAGCCACAUCAACAUUCGGAAGUUAGAUUUGAAUUUAUUGAAUGGAAAGAAAACCUUACAACGUUAUUUGUAAAAUAAGUGAUGGUGGGUUUGGAGAAAUCUAUAAAGUAAGUUCGCCAAGUACAAAUGAAAUCCUUGUUCUUAAAUAUUUGAAAUUCAAGGGGAAUUUAAAUGAGCAAACGUACAUGUAUAUUAAAAACGAAAUAGCUAGUUUAUCUUCUUUGAGACAUGAGAACAUUAUAUCUUUUCGAGAAGUUCUAGUGAAAAGUGAAGAAGUGAAUAUUAUAAUGGAAUAUGCGGACGGGGGAAAUCUUGAAGAUUUUAUUUCUGAACAUAAAACUUUAUGUAAUACAUUGGUUGUUGAUAUUUUCAUUCAAAUCUUAAAAGCAGUAGAUUUUUGUCAUCAUAAUUACAUUGCACAUAGAGACAUUACCCCUAGUAAUGUAUUGCUAUUAAGAAACAGAACAAUUAAAAUAUGAAAUUUUUAUGAAAUGUAUGUCCUCAGCCGGGAAACCGUUGUUGUGCGAUGAUUUUCUUUGAAAUAAACUAUUUUGUUCCCCGGAAGUUAUACGUGGGAUUGUUCACGAUGCCAUAUUAGCAGACUUAUGGAAUCUCGGUGUUCUCUUGUAUUACAUUAUAUUUACUAAAGGACCAUUCAGUGGAUACGACGAAGAAAUUCUAGUCCAGCAACUAACAAUAGGAAAUACUAUAACAACAUCACAUUGUAUUGACUUAUUUAAACGUACGUUACUUGAUUCCUUGAAAAUUAUUCCUUGUGAUAGAACAUGUGUUUCAAAGGUAUUACAUUCCUGGAACAAUGCAAUGAAUGAAUCUGUUUUAUAUUGAAUUUUUAUGUUGAAAAAUGUGCAUUAAGUGAGUUGAAUAAAUGGCAUAAUAUUAGAACUGUAUUCAUACUUUUGAUCAAAUAUAAAGUAUUGUAUGAAAUAACUAUUAAACAUUAUAUUCGUUGCAAGAUUUUAUCAUGAUAUUUCAUUAAUUGACUAAUAACAUGAUAUUUCAUUAAUUAACUAAUAUAUAUAUACAUAUAUAUAGUAGAGCAGGUUAGUAGAGCCCAGGUGGUCGUGUGGUCUAGCGGGACGGCUGCAAUGCAGGCGAUUUGGUGUCACGAUAUCAUAGUAGCAUGGGUUCGAAUCCCGGCGAGGGAAUAACAAAAUUUGCGAAAGCAAAUUUACAGAUCUAUCAUUGUUGGGUUGAUGUUUAGACGAGUUGUAUAUAUAUAUAUAUAUACAUCCAGGGUUAUUUUAUUGGUGAGUUAAUCGUUGAAGGAGGAAGCAUAUUAUGUAAGAAGCGCAAAAGCAAUGUUGUUCAUUAUGAUUACAGAAAUUCCUCACCUUUCAUUUUUGUUUUGGUAUAAAUAAAGGCAACAGUAGUAUACCGCUGUUCAAACUCAUAAAUCCAUGGACAAAAAAACAAAAUCGGGGUAACAAACUAAAACUGAGGGAAACGCAUAAUAUAAGAGGAGAACAACGACACAACACUACAAUGUAACUAACACACACAGAAAAGGACCAAGCAUCAGACAAAAUCCCACGAGAAUAACAAAUAUAACAUCAAAACCAAAUACAUGAAUUUGGGAUAGACAAGUACUGUGACACGUCUUAUCGCAAUGUCAAUUUACACUCAAAAAUAAGAGAGAAAACACACACAGAAACGAACUAUAAUAUAACAAUGGCCAUAUUCCUGACUUUGUACAGGACAUUUUUAAAGGAAAAAAUGGUGGGUUGAACCUGGUUUUGUGGCAUGCCAAACCUCGGACUUUAAUGGCAAUGUUAAAUAUAACAUAAUAAUUUGGAAUAACUCGUUAUAGUUGUUGUCUUAUCAAAAGUACGGAUUCGGAUGAAAAUAUAAGUAAUUUAAUCAUUUCUUUGUAUGUGUCGCCAAAUUUUUUUUAUUGGAAUUAAAAUUACGCAAGGAAAAUGAAAAAUCGCUAAAAUAUGUAAAAGCAAUGCAAAUUUUGACACAAUCUUGCCAGACAUUUAAGUUAUGCUCUCGAAUAACCAAAUCUGACGCUAAGAUAUCUGAGGUAUUUUUCUUUGAAUUAGAUCUUUAUGAACUUUAUUGUUACUUUCCGUAAAAAAAAACUUUAAAAAAUAAUAAAGUGUGCAAUCAUAUAGUUCAACGACAUGACGUGUAGUUAAUAUAUUGCCAGUAAAUGAAGAGGAACGAAAGAUACCAGAGGAACAGUCAAACUCCAGUAACAUGUUACAAGCAACGAAAUAAUACCAAAUGAUAGAGUAGACUCUCUCCGUGUGAUAUUGUAAUAACAAUUAUAUUAAUGGUUAGAUCAUGCUAUCUUGAACAUUUUAUACAAAAAAAGAAAAACUCUAAAAUACUAAACUUCGAGGAAAAUUUAAAACGGAAAUUUCCUCAUUAAAUGGCAAAAUUAAAAGCUCAAACACAUCAAAGAAAUGGAUCAUAACUGUUAUAUUCCUGAUUUGGUAUAGGCAUUUUCCUUGUAGAAAAUCAUGGUUUAAACCUGCUUUUAUAGCUAGCUAAAUAUCUCACCUGUAUGACUGUCGCUUUAAAUUCCAUUAUAUUGACAAUGAUGGGUGGACUAAACAAACAGACAUAAUAAGUAAAAAUGUCAAAAAAAAGGAUACAGCAGUCAACAUUGUGUUAAAAUCAAAAUCACUAAAUUAAAGAAAGGAAUGUGACAAAGCAUAUCAAAAAACUAAAUUAAGUUACAUGGAUUGAAAUAUUGUUCACCAGACGCACGUUUCGUCUACAAUAAGACAAAGUUAAAAAGCAAGAAUAUUGUUUCAUCUCUAAAUAUGGGAUGCAUUUUAUUGCAACCACAGGUUGGUCUGUAUUCACCAUGAACAUUGAUAUUGGUGAGUUAAUUAUGUGCCUUUCAUUAUGAUAACAAACACAAUCUUGCUUCUCCUAUCAACUUCAAAAACUGUUCUAUUAUUUUGGUAUAUGUGUAUAAUCUUUUAGGGCUUCAAAUAUCAAAACAAUGUAAUCCUUCAAUAUGUUACACCAAAGAAAAACAAAGAAAUCAUCUUAAAGAAUUCCAAAAGAGAGAAGUCUUUACUUCAUCUUUCAAAAGCGUUACCUAGGUUGUUUUGAAACUUAUGAAAUAUUCAUCUUAAAUUUUACAACACUGCCAAACAUACUACUAGUAAAUCAAAUUGUAAUGUUUUGGUUUUCGAUCUUUUUUCUACUGAUAUUGCACACUUUUCAGAUGUUCUUAUUUAAAUGUGUAUGCGUGUAUGACAGGCUUUAAUAUGAAUAUUUAAUUUUAUUUUUUGUAUCUUUGUCAUUUUUGAUUUUGUGUCAUUUUAGGAAUUUGGCAUGCACUAUGUCCAAUGCAUUAGAUCAAUUGGGCAGCCGGGCUAUAUCAGGAAAUAGAGUUUGCUAGUCGAGUGAUACCCUUUCCUGGGAACGCGACCGAAAACACAAUAAUUGAUGUAAGGAUGCAUAUAAGUUCAAUAUUUUACAGAACAGCUGUUUUAGUCAGACGUUAAAGAUUUCAAACGUUACCAUGAAGUCACAUUGAUAUGUUGAUUUUAUUACCUGAUAAAUUAUCCGUGUUUUUAUAAUACGAAUUCUCCAAAUUGUUUUUUGCCGUGGUGUUGUCGGUUUGUUUCUUGUUUUGAGUUUGAAUGUCUCUUUGGUAUUUUUCGGCUGUUUUAUCCACAUAGUUGCGAUUUUUGCUAUUCUCCAAUGAUGAAAAGACGUUCUUUAGUGCCGCAUAAUUUUAAAUAUUUGGUCAGUGCUUUUCCAGAAUAAUGUCCAAACAACUUGUAUGUCUUUGUUAUAUAUAAUCUUUCUGACGAAUAUGUAUUUCAUACAAAGAAUUAAAAUUUGAAAUUAGAAUGACCUUUUAUGUUCUUAUGGGGUUUGAUUUAAAUGGAUCCUGUGUCAUGGUUACAUUUAAUUGAAUAACAAAAUAAUUAUCUAGCAUUUCGAUAGGUCUUCUCCGCAAGUAAAAAUUACAAUACUCACUUCAGAAAUACAAUAUUGAUUAUAUUUUCAUUUGAAAAAUGAAGAGAUAGGUCAUUUAUAUUAGAUGAACUGAUAAAAUGCAGACUGUAUUGCGAAUAUCAAUAAAAACCAGUUAUCCGUAGGUGUUAUUAUAUGUUUGUUAAACUGAAAAUAGACCAAAAUAAUAUGGAAUAAAAAAGAAAGACAAGCGACAUUUAUAUCAACAUCUAUACGUGUGAAAGUAAGCAAAGGAGUGAUUUCAUUCUUUUAAUUUUGGCGAAAACUUAUUUAUGUAAAUGCUCCAUUUGUCGAUUUUAAUGAGAGAUUUAGCUAUCUAUAACACCAGGUUCAAUCUAUGUUUUCUACAUAAGAAAAAACGGUUGCAAGUCAGGAAUAUUGCAGUUGUUAUCCAUUCCUUGGGUGUGUUUAAGCUUUUGAUUUUUCUAUUUGAUUAGGGACUUUCCUUUUUUGAAUUUUCCUUGAAUAUUAAAGGGAUAAUUCAUGAAUUUGCGAUGUUCCAUUCCAUGUAUAUGUUGUGAUGUGUAGUUUUGAGAAUAGAAAUAUGAUUUAUUCUAUGUUAACUCACAAUUAACUGCUUAAGGUGAAAUGGGUGUCUUUCGCCAUCUUGGAUUGUAAGCAACAGAGAAACUAAGAUACAGAUUUUCAAUCAAGUUAGCAAAAUUUGAUGAAGGAAUGCAGAUAACUAAUGUGAAUUUCAUUUAAAAGAACAAAUGUAUAUGCUUAUAACUUUUGAAUAUUAUUAUUGGUUAAAGUGUAGAAAUAUUUGUACUUAGUUUUUAUUUUUUUAAAUUGGCAUUUUAAGGGCAGAUAACUCAGAAAAAAAGUGCAUUUUCUGAACAAACUCCAUGGAAUUUUGCUGUUUUGUAUUCUAGUCAGAAAAAACGUACCCUAUCUUUUCUUUUUAUAUUCUCAAAGCAAUCCUUAAAAGCUAUCUUCUCGCAUUUUAUUUUACAAUUCUAUCAUUAAGUUUACAUUAAUUUUUAGCGGUGAACUAUAAUUUUUAUUACAUUUUUGAACAUAUAUCAAUAAGAACUGCAUUUUGGCAUAAAAUAUCAACAAAUUCUAUCAUUUUCAAUUUAGACACAAAUAUCACCUUAAUUAUGAAUAUAAAUCUUUUCUAUAUACGUCAUCGUUUUAAUUAUUUUAAAUGUUAAAACUUGUCUGGUAUACCAAAUGGCAAGCCUGGUAUUUUUAAUGAGGUUCUCUUAACUUGUUUCAUUAUAAAAGCGUCUUGUAUAUUGAGAAAACACAUUAUCUCAAUAAUGAUAACAUGCUUUUAAUGAAAAUACAUUUACUGCUUAUUUCCUUCGUUAUUAAAACUGUCUUUAACUUCGACCUAUAGAUAAAGAUAAGUAUUGGCUAUGCAUCAAUAAAACAACAACCGAAAUGAGAAAACAAAAGACAUACUAUUUCUCUGCACAUACGCCAAAAAUCAACAGCUUAUUUAGAUUUCUGCUGUAGAUAGGUUUGUACAUUAGUACUGAAAUUUCAAGCCUGUUUACUAUUUUGAAAUCUAAAAAACUUAUAUAGCUCUUUUCAUUAUUUAGAAAAAAAAUGCCGAUUUCUAACAACCAAUACUUAUGGUUCUUUUAUAACACAAGCGGGAGUAAGUGCUUUAAAGAAAUAAAGGUAAAAAAUGACACAAGUAUCAAAAUAUAAUUGUGAAACAUAAGUCUAAGGUAAAAGUUUAUAAUUUCCUAAUUCUGCUUGAUUAAAGUAGUUAGUAGUCAGUAUAUAUUAAUAUUGUUCUGAACUUUGAACUAUCCAUGUAUUUAGAGACAUGCAAAAACACCCAAAGGAUAUCAAACUGCCCGUGUUAUUGCAAAAAAAAAAAAAAAAUUAAUAGGAAAAACAAUCGUUGAAAAACUAAAGGCUUAACAAACAUUCUACAACAAUUCAAUUAUAAGACACAGACCUUAAAGAGAUUUUCUAUAGAAUAGAAUAAAUCGAAUGCAUUCUCUUAUUAUUUCGUUUUUAUUCAAAAAAUGCAAUAUCAUUUUAAAGGUAAGUAGGUAGCUAGAGUAGAAAUUUGAUUCGAACGUCAGCGAUGAGUCUUUUGAAGACAAACGCACGUCUAGAUCUAGCGUGUAAAAGUAUAUACCUGAGUUUUUUUUAUCAAUAUAUUCAGGAGGUAAAAUAAAUACCCUGCCUUAAUUGAAAUAAAUGAAACUGACAAAAAGAAAAUAACUAUGCAGAAGAAAAAAUCCAUUUCAUUUGACCUUUAUGUGAAAAAUGUAAAUAAAACAACUAAUAUCAAGAAAUGUCAAUGGUUUAUUUGACCUUUUUUAAUCGAGCAUGAUCACUGAUUAGACCUUUGAAGACGUAACGCGCGUCUGAUGUACAUCAUUGUUAUCCUGGUGUCUGUGAUGAGUUAAUUUACAAGAUCAAAGUAAGUCUGCAAUCAUAUGGUUCAAUGUCCUGUGUUUAUAAUUAAUUUCCAAUAACAUUAUUCAAACAACAAAGGCGAUGUCAAAUUCUUACUAUUACGUAAGAUCAAUGUCAACAUACUAUCUGUGUGGGAAACAGAUAAUACAAAUAAAUAAAGUACUUUGAUGAUUAGACCAGGAAAUCAUUAAUAGGCAUUAAAAAAAACCAAUACUAGGUAAAUUGUCUUGGUUUACUUUUCAAUCACGGGUACUGCACUCCUUUCACUCCUUUCCCUAUCGGGUGUGAUGUCUCCUGCUAGACAGCGGUACUACAUCAAGGUUCAAAAUCACUAAUCAUUAUUUACAUUCACGCCACAGCUUGCUUCAUUUUCAGAGAGUGUGGAAGCUUCCCACAUGGUAUAUAUAGCAGAUGUUGACGAAAUCGAAAUGUUAAUGUGCAUGUCUUCCAAUUUAGUGUAAAGUUUAAUAACUACAUCAUAUAUAAAAUCAAAAGUGAUAACAAAUUUAGCUCCAUAGAAAACAAAUACAUAUUUAUUUAUAAUCUGUAAAACGGCAAUUUAAGAAAAUACACCUGUAUACCUGCAAGCCUGAGAUAUAGAUGCCAUCACUGCAACAAGUGUGUUACGAUAUUUCUCAACUAAAGACAGUUUAAUUUUAAUAUUCAAAGCACGAGGCUUGCCGAGCUUUUUAAAUACUUAAAAUUUAACUGUUGAAAGUGGUUAAAUAUUGUAAUACACGAGUUAUAGUGGUGGAAUCUGUUUCUCUAAUGAUUUUUAUUCUUCAUUUUCUAAGAUUUGCAGAAAAUGACGUAAUCAGAUAUGGUGGCCUUUUUUUCGGGUAGUUAUAAUAGGAAAUUCAAGAGAAAUCAAGAAAAUUUAUCGUUUUUACCAACAUAUUUUUCUCACACCGCUCAGGUGAAAAUAGCACAAAAAUUAGAGAGUAUUUCUUCGUUAACCUUUGCAUGUCAUCAUAUCCGCAGUCGCAGAGUUUUUCAUGUUUUUGUUUGGUGCAUUUCUUUUAAACUAGAUUUUUAUUUUCUCCCAAUUACGAAAGAUCAAAUGACAUAGUUAGAUAUAGAUUAUAAUUGAAAUUGCCAAAAGGUAGGGAGGAUAAUAUUACGUCAAGAGAUGAAGGGUGAAUAGGUUUCAACAUUGAAAGCAGACACAGACUGAAUUUGCAUUAUAUGAUUGUAAUGGUUGUAAUGAUGAUUUCAGCUUCGCAUUUGUGAACUUUCCCUUUUUUUGUUGCACCAUUCCAGUAGUGCCUGCAAACAUAGUAUAUUUAUCACAGUUGAUAUGAUAUUCCAGGGCUUGCAUUUCCUAUAAUGAAUUUUCUGAUAGACAUUUGAUGCUCACAAAAAAGCGGUCAAAACAAGAGUUUCACAGAUGAUGACGGAUUUGUUCUACUUGUCGUAACAAGCCUCCGACCCCCUUUCCACCGAGCGUUACAUACCAAAUUAGACGUAUUUAUCGGAUUUUUUCCUAAUUAUAAGCAACACGAUUAGCGACACAUGCUAAACAGUGUCUGCUAACCCUUCGUGAGCGCCUGAGGUCAUCCUCAGAUUUUUGUGGGAUUCGUGUUGUCCAAUCUUCAGUUUUCUAUGCUGUGAUUUAAAUACUAUAUUGUAUUUUUAUACCCCUUCUAAAAAAAAGUGGGGGUAUACUGUUUUACCUCUGUCUGUCUGUCCGUCAGUCUAUCCAUCUGUUCAUCUAUUAGUCAUUUAGUCCAUUCGUCCGUCCCAUGAAUAUGUUUUGUCGCAUCUUUCGCAGGAACUGCAUCAUAAGGAUUUCUGAAAUUUGAAUCUGGUUUAAAUAAGUCAGCUAUACCGUGUGAUCUGUUUUCAGAUUCAUUACUCAACAACUUCCUGUUUGGCAAUCAUUUAGGUGAGGGCACCAUUAAUGAGCAGUAGUCCGCAGUUUCACUUGCUUCUUUUUGCAAUAGGUUAGUGAGCAAACUCCUUUAUCAACAGAGGGUUUUACCUCUGAUAUCUUCUUUUUAUAAUUUUAAGAUUGAAUUUGCUAGAGUGUAAAAAUUCUUAUACUUACAUAAUUAUAUGCACGAAGGACUAAAAAAACGUAUUCACACAAACAUCGUAGUUCUAAACGUAAUAGAAUAAAUACAUUAACCAACACUAGUUAUUUCACAGACAUAACCUUUAUUGUUAAUCGAUGUGCACAGUGUUGUACAUGUAUUGAAAAGUAAAAUCACAAAAAUACUGAACAAUGAAGAAAAUUAAAAACGGAAAGUCGCUCAUCAAUUGGCAAAAUCAAAAGCUCAAGCACAUCAAACGAAUUGAUAACAACUGUCACAUUCGUGACUAUGUACCGGCAUUUCUUUUGAUUGAACCUUGUUUUAAAGCGCUAAAUCUCUCCCGUUAUAUAGACAACGAUUUGUGAACAAAAUAAACAUUAUCGAUAAAAGUGUCACAAAUGGGGGCACAGUUGCAAUACGAACCCCACCAGAAACUCGGGGUGAUCUCAAGUGCUCUGUAAUGGUUGCAGAUCCUGUUCCACAUGUUGGUAAUGUUAAUACAAAGCCGGUAUAUAGUAUAAUUCGGUAGCUCACAUUCGUGAACAGGGAAUGGUAUUGUAGUAACGACAUAAGGAACAUAUCCGAUACCAUCUGUAAAACUGAUAUUUGAUAACGGUCAACAGGUGAUGGCGUCCAUAAAUUUAAGAAAUAAUUUCGUCUUAUUAAAUAAUGAUAUACUGGAGAAAUAAAUGUGAGAUAUGAAACUGUUUAAGUAAUCAACAAUGCUAUCAUGCAUCAUUUCAGGCUUCUUAUAUUGCAUACAAAUGUAUGAUUGUUUAUUGAACAAAUUCUUGGGUAGUAACCCGUUUAUAGUCGCGGUCGUGUAGUCUGCCUUUGAAUAAUUAUUGAUGGAUUUCGAUUAAUAUUUGUUUUUACCAAGAUGCCAAAAAUAACCACUUUUUCACAACACAACUACUAUAAAUCGAUACUCGCUGCUGCAUUUCAUAGUUUUCUGCUACAAGAAGACCGACAUAAAUUCAGACCCAAACAAAUUGACAAGUAAAGCAAUAAGAAGCAACUGUUUAUGUAGUUAAGAACGAUCGAAAUAAAGAAUUUGGACAACCAGUCGCCUUUAAAAAAAACUUAAAUGGAAAGGUGCAGAAAUUUUGCUUUGAUUCUAUAAAAUUGUUUAACUACAAAUAGCAUGACACUCACCUUUCACAAUGUUAUUCGCCGUUAUUUGUUGUUGCUGAUGGCAGUAUUAAUAAAAUUUCUAAAACAAAUGCUUGACUAACAUACUUAUUUUAGUUGUGAUAAAUAAAUCUUUUGUUAUACAUUACCAAUUUUAAAAAUAUAAGUUCCGAUGUUAAUGUUGCUUCAACUUUAAAGUUUAUGGAUUUCGCGUCCAUAAUGCAAAAUUUGAUAACACUCAUUUAUAUGAUAUCAGAAAAAAAAAUCGGACUGACCCCAAAAAUAUACAUAAAAAGUUAUUACGAUGGUAUAAUUGCAAAACAUCUACUAUACAUUUGAAGUUAACCUCUUAGGAUAUGUCCUAACAUAUAGUUUGGCAAAAGUUAUUUAUUUACUGUAGACAAUACUUUAAGUUCAAAAUGUUUAUAUCUUCUAUCUUAAUGGACAAUGUAUCUCAAUUGUUUGUUAUAUUAACGAUGUGGAAAGAGUUACAUAAACAAUACGGAAUAACAAUCACAAUACAACUACACUAUUCUUGUUUAUACGAACAGUAGUUGCGAAGUGUUUCAUUAUCCAAAUACUUUAUCAAUUUUAUAAACUUCAGGUUAUUUUGAAAGAAAGUACCACUAUGUUUAGGAGACUUUUGUCUGUGCUAACUCACCGUAAGCUCUCACAAAAUAAAUGCAGCACUUGAAAAAUUCAGAGUUUUUGAUUGAUAUGUGAAGCUUACACAUCAUAAAAAUCUGUAAAAAUAAUUUUCAUUUAGUUUGAUGUGUUUUAUCAUUUGAUUUUGCCAUUUGAUUGGUGACUUUGCGUUUUAAAUUUUCCUCGGAUAUCAGUAUUUUUGUGAUUUUACUUUUUAAGGAUCUUCGUAAUUUUAAUAAAAAACAUACUAAAAAAUAUAGCAAGAUAAAAUAUGUGAUCAGCACGGCUAUUUCAAAACUACGAAAUGCAAGUUGCUUAGUUAAAUUGAAGAAUUAAAAUCAUUUGUUAAAAGUGUUAUGAAUUUCUGUAUUGGCCCUGUCAACUUCGACUAAAUAUUGACAGGACAACGUCACCAGUAUUAGGACAAAUUGGCUCAUAUCAUUAAAUAAUUAAAAUUUACAAUUCUAGUACUGCAUUAUAAACUGUUUAAGAUGAUAUUUAACAUAAAAAACAGAUUGUGUUUAUUAUUAUUUGGUGUUUUUUUUUUCAUGAUGUUCGAGAUGUCCCCUACACUAUAUAUAUGUACAUUGAUAAAUUAAAAAAAAAACAGUAUGUGCAGAGCUUGGAAGUUUUUAUCACCUCAUUCUGACUGGACACUAUGGUUGCCUCCUUUGUGUCAUAUAACACCUAACUUUUCUGUGUAUGUAUUCAUCCAUGAUUGUCAAAUGUUUUGCUUUGAGCGUUCCUGAUGAAGCGUAAUCAAGGCCAGAAAAGCGCUUCGGAUACUCGAAAUUGUUUUUUUUUUUAAUUCGGACUGGUGAUCGCUACACGGAACUGAUUAAGAUGUACAUUAUAAUUCUAUAUAAUGUUAUAGUUAUAAUGAAACUUAACUUAGAAUGUGGUUCUUUUUAUGAUAUAUUAUGUUUGACACAAUAUAGUAAUAUCAAAACGUAAAUGAGUUUCUAAUUUACAAAUUUAUUUACGACGACAAUCAUUCUUUAUCACCAUAGAUGUAUAAAACCAUACAUCUAUGUAAUAACUAAUAAUUGACACCGGUUUCUAUAAAUUUAGAAUCAACCAUAUUCUCUAGCAUACCCUUUCUACUACUACAAUAGAAACAUACAUUUUUAUUUAGCAACCUGUUCAUAGAUGCUUGGAUUUAAAUCCCUAUUCAUAUCGUUCAUUUGUCUUCAAUGUAAACGUCAAUUGCAUAUGCUACUAGUAUCAAAAUAAUAAAUAUGAAAAAAAAAGGUUAAUAAGAGUUCAAGGUUAAAUACCUGCUAUAAGUGAUAUUGAUGAUAAAAGAAUUGUUUUCAUAGUUUUGUCUUCAUUCGUAGCAUCAUAAAAUGUGAUCUAUAAUUCUCAACUAUUUUCUAACUUGUUUUUGCUACAGUACCUAUUAAUACAAUACAUACAAUUGUCAUGCACAAUAAAUCACUAUUGAGUAUACAAACUACCGAAGAGAGAGAGAGAGAAAUAAUAAUAUGUCAGUAUAAUGUAUGCAACAAAGCUAACUAAACCUUAAUGUUGAAUGUUUUCAGAAUGUCUUUGGAAUAUACUAACAUUUAAACUAAAUAACAAUGAAUUAAUCAAUUGGUAACUAAACCAAUUUAGCAAAUAAACCACCUUUUAUUCUGACAUAGGUUUACAAAUGUUAAUCUGCAUGCAUUUUGUUGAAGUACGUCGUACAAGUAGUACGUCAGUUUCUAGAAUCAAAAUAUAUAAAUCUAUAGAAUAAGUCAAAGCUUAACCUCUGUUCUUACAAAUUAUCCCUUCUAGGUACAGAAAAAGUAAUCUGUAAAUACAUCAAAGAUUAAAUGAAUCAAUAAAUCAAAAAAGUAUUAAUACUGAAAAAUAAAAAUAAAUAGAUUAAGUGAGAUUCGCGUAUUCUGUCAAAAAGAUCGAAUAAUUAAACACAGCCAGCAGGCAUCAGUAUGCAGAAAACAUUUUGUGGGCAAUUAGAAGUUCGAGGCUAUUUAAUUGCUAAUUUACAUACUAAUGCAGAAUUUAAUGCAUACCUUACGUAAUGGCUAUCUGUUAGUGUCGGGUAUUAAAUGGGAGACAGUCACGUACUUGACAUUCGUCGAAUAUCACUACACUUGUGUAAUGCAACAAUAUAAUAUACGAAUAAUCGAACAAAGCAAUGAUUUACAAAUAAACCGAUGAGAAAAUGAAAAUUGCGAUCUAGCAAAAAUAUUAACAAGUCAACUGUGAAAGUGUGCUAUAUAUAAUUAACAAUGAAAAACGAAUUGACAUUGGUUACUUUCCACAAUCGAUAUUUGUAAUAAAAAAGGGUAAUAAUUCAAUUGGAAGAAUUCAUUUCUAAAAAUGAAAUUAAAUAAUGUUAUAAAAAUAAAAAAUAAACAAACCCAGAAGUUUUUCUACAAAAAUAGAAAUUAAACGAAAAUUAUAGAUACUCCUUUAUUCCCGUUGACAAAAUUUGGAAAAAUUAUAUCUAGUAUUUAUUAGACCAAUUUUUGAAUAUGCAACUGAAGUAUGGGACAGUUGCGAAAAGUUAUUCAAUUAAAUUAGAACAGCUACAACUUGAAGCUGACACGAAUUGUAACAGUUUGCCUGUUUUCCACAUCUGAGACUGUCUUAAAAGAGGUUGUUGGGAAACUUAGAGGAACAAGAAAAAGAAGAAAACUACAAUAUUUUAUAAAAUUCAGAAUAAUAAUGCCCUGAAUAUUUUGUAGCCUUGUGCCCUAAAAUCAAGUACAACACAAUAUCCUUGCGAAAUAAACAAAUCUCAUUUUACCAUUUGCAGGCUACCUGACUUCCCAAUCCUUUAUCCUAUCAACAAUUAAACUUUGGAAUAAUUUGAGAUAUCAGUUCGAAUGUAACUCGUUAUCAAAUUCAAGUAGAAUUAAAAAAAAAACGACAUUCGAAAGAGAAUCAAUUUAACUAAAACAUUAUUUAUCUGGUCAAGAAAAUGAAUAUAAAUUACCCAAUUAAUUUGUCAUCGUUCUUAAUUGUGACUUGUUAGAGCUAACAUUAUAUCUAUCCAACAUGUAAUGUGUUUGAUAUGAGACUGCCCAUUUUUUUUAUUGUCCUUUCAUCUAAAUUGAAAGGGCUAUUCUGUUUAAUGGUUUCAGCUGGCUUCCGAAGGCUGCGAUUUGGACUUAAAACUACUGGUUGAAAGAACUCUCUCCUAUGAUCAAAAUGUGAAACUGUUAAACAAGUAUUCAUUUUAUAAAGAGAUCAAAACGAUUCUCUAGUAUAGUAUCAACAUAGUAAACGCAAUCUUCAUCAUUAUCAUCAUCACCUAAUCUCUGUCGUUCUUUCCUCAUUCCUCUACAUUUUCAGUAUAGUUAAGUAAUUUUAUGUUUUAUAUUUUGAUGCAUGCUCACGUUCAUUUGUAUUGUUAUAUAUUGUAUUGUGGAGAAGACUUUAUAAGUAGUUUUCUUGUGUCUUAUCUUUUUGCUUGAGCAAAUAAAAUAUGUUUAAACUAAAUCCCGUUGAUAGUCUAAAGAAUGCAAUAUAGCUAUAGAUGGAAAAUAUUCUAAAUGAAAAAAAUACGUUCCUUAAAGUUGUGCUAAUUUAUCUAGGGCCACUUAUGCACGUGGUAUUCAAUCCCCAUUGAUAUUAGAUUGGUUAAAAUGUUUUAGUUAACAGUCUUGCAAAUAAAUAUUUUAUUUCUAUAUGAAAGGAACAUGAGACAAAGACAAAAACAAAAAUGAACAUGAUCACGUUUGUAAAAGUUGCUCAUGAAGAGUUAAUAUUUCUAGAUAGCAAAAAAGUCCAACUGCAAUUUUAUAGACGUUAAUAUCAUAUUGACUAUCCAUAUGCAAGAAGACGUUGUUGAAGCAUAUGGUAAAUGACUGUCACUGGUCUUUUUUAUGUACUGAAGGAAAUAUAAAUUCUAGAACAAUAUUAGUUUUGGAUUCGUUUUUGUUUCAAAGAUAUGGCACAAACACUAUUACAAGGAGCAAAUUUGAAAAAUAUGAGAAGACAAAUUGAAGAAAGACAACAUGUUGUUUGUAUUACUAUCAGCCCGAAUUACAUUAACUAGGCAUAUACAUCAAAUGAUAUUUAUCAGAAACUCGAGACCAUAAAUCAAUUAAUAUCAAAUAUGAUAAUAAUAGACGAAGAUUGAAGCAAAUGAACUUGACAUAUUAUUGUAGAGUUUCCAUGUGACGACUAGGAGUAGAAGACAAUAAUUCGAAAUUUGUAUCACCUGACGAUUCUAGAAAGCAUUUAUUUACAGUCGGUGUCAGAAUAACUCGUCAUUCUUUUAUUACAAUCGGUACAGGUCGUGUUGAUGUGGGGAAAUACUUUUGUAAACGAUUUCUCAUCUAAUUUAAAAAAAUGUAUUAUUGUGUUUUCCUUUCGAGGAAGAGUUAACUGCGUGGUUUUGUUGCGUCGACAAUUAUGAAAAGAUUAAAAUAAAUGUAAACAAAGAAUUGUUUGCAAUGAUUCGUUUAUUUAAAUUCUCAAUUAAACUAAAAGAUAAAAACCAGUAAUCGUUAAAUGUCAUUGAUAAUCUACAAUUUAUAUGAUUCUAAUUGUAUGGAAAAAAAAAACAUUUUGGAAAUCACGGAGUGUUUUUUGUUUGUUUUUUUUUUGGGGGGAGGAGGGGGGUUGUUACAUCUACCGUUUGCCACUUUCAGUAAAUGCGAAUUCUUCAAGGUCAGCACUUUAAGGUUAUUGUCAUUUUGUUCUGGUUUGUGCUUAGUAUCUUCUUUUGAGUCAAAUACCGUUCAAUCUGAAUUUUACAGUUCUGUUGAAGGGUAGAGAGGAGUAAGUACGCACAAACAGAUUCAAUUCUAAUUGGAAUUGAUGGACUACUACCUUUAAAGAUGAUAACGUAUACAUGUAUUUAUUAUUAUGAAACAAGAUGCAUUAUUUCAUAGACACUAGUAUUCGAAUAACUUUAUAAGUAAGUUGUUAACAAUUAAAAUCAAUACUUAUUGGUGAUAUUUCCGUAAAAAUGACAGCGUGGCAUGAUUUCUUUUAAAUUGAACUUUACUUUAUUGAUAAGUCCAUAUAACAUUAAAUUUACAAACCCCAUUAAGCUCCUCAUAUAUUACAAACAAAUAUGUAUAAGGAAUUUUGAAUGUUCUUGUUUUUCCAAACAUGAUUAACGAAGAGUUUUUCCUGAUAAAACAACAACAACAACAAUUGGCAAGAAGUUAAUCGAAUUCAUAACAAUGGAAUAAUCAUGUUUCGAAAUACUUAGUUCCUUAUUACCAGUAAACAAGUUAUACAAAUGAAAGAUUGUAAAAACAUAGAUAAGAUAGAAAUUAGGAAAUGUAGACAUAAUAAUGACAAUUAAAAAUAAAACUCUGGCUCGACAUAAUGAUUAUUGCUUACCUUUAAGGAUUAACCUGUCUGGAAAUAUAAAUCAAGUUCAUUUAUUUUCACAAAUGAUAGCAUUUUGAAAAUCGACGAAUACUUCAAUUUGAAAAAUCUUAUUUCAGUUUAAUAUCAACAAACGUUUUUCAAUUUUUUUAUUUCGAUACGAGAUAGUGAGAAAUUACUUUCUCUAAAGAGUUUUAACUUCCUUCGAAUUUAACUUGACUAAUGAAGUCAUCAGAUCAUCAAUUUGCCAAACAAACAAAAAAGUGAAAAAAAAUACCAAACUCGAAAGAAACAACUACUUUUUAAACACUAGUCAAAUUGGGAUAUCAAACUAUCAUACUAUGUUAUUACAUUGGUAUUCAUAUUUCUGAAAUAACUUUAAUCAAUUAUCAAGACCCUACUUAUCACAGGACGCGAAAUAGGAAGAGAAGGAACUAUUUUUGUUAUACAAAGUUACGUAAACAUAUAAUUACAUGCAUCCUUCGAUUGCGGUAAUAAACCAUUCAACAGGUCUUACUUGUACUUGUACUCAAAGACCUGAUAAAGAGUACUUAAAGUGAAGAAUUAUGUUAUUCAUCAUUGCAGUCGAUGACAGAUAACGUCACAGACACACAAUCAUCAUGAACUUUUGAAGGUAAUUAUGUACUCCAGUUUACGGAUGAACAACGACAAUAACAUAAUUGUGACGAAAUGGUUACAAAACACAUAACAAUAGAAUAGUCAUGUGUCGAGGUAAUUUGGGAAAUUCAUUUCAUAUGUCAAUUAAGAAAAGAGUACCAAAUUCCAAGGUAAAUUCAAAAAGAGCAGAGUUAAUAAAACUCGAUAUUAUGAAACGGUGGAUCUAAUAAACAAACGGAAUGAAUGAGAAAUUGCUGUCAUAUUACUAAAUUGGUACAGACGUUUUGGGGAAAAAGUUGUGCGUUAAACCUUGUUUUAUAGUAGGCUAAACUCAAACUAUGACAGUUCUUUAAAUUUUGAUGCAUUGACGAAAUUUAGCGUGCAGCCCAUACCUAGAAAAUCUAAAACAUAUUCGCACCAAGCCACAAAAACUGAGUUCGCAUACAUAAGAUAAACACUCAAAUUGCAAAAAAAUCAAAUAGACAAAACCAAAAUAUAUUAUCAAAUAACAACAGACAAAAUUCAAUAUUAUGCUUAAAAUUGUUAACAAUAAAGAUCAAAUUGAAAUCGAUUACCAUUUCUGAUAAUCAUUGUUUAAACAUGUUUUUAAAUGAUUGUUUUCAAAAUAAAUAAUUAUUCAUUUCUAAUCAAACAUUGUGUGUCAUUUUAAGUUCAAUUAGCAAGACAAGCACACUCACUUCUGUUAACAACAAUCAAAUCUAUAAAAAAAACAAUCACAUUGAUAUAAUGUUCAUCAACUUAGAUAUACUUCAUAUUAUAAUGAUGUAUCCCGUAUUCCAAGCAGCUCCUGGAUCUAGUAUUUCGGCAAAAAUAUGCCAUUAAAUGUAACGAUCUUUGAUUAUUGCACACUGGUUUAAAUCUUAUCACUAUUAUUAAUUCAAUAAAGGCAACAGUAGUAUACCGCUGUUCAAAACUCAUAAAUCCAUGGACAAAAAACAAAAUCGGGGUAACAAACAAAAGAGGGAAACGCAUUAUAGAGGAGAACAACGACACAACACGAAAGGCAACACAAAACACCACGAGUAUUAAAUCAUUUGGGAUAGAUAAUAUCCACGUCCUUUUCUAAAAGUAAAUAAACAAACACAACGGAAAAUGCAACACACACAGAAACGGAACAAUAUUUAACAAUGGCCUCUUCCUGACUUGGUAACACACUUUUAAAGGGGAAUAAAAGUGGUGGGUUGAACGCUGUUUUAUGGCAUGCCAAACUCGCACUUAAAUGGCAAAGUUAAAUAUAACAUUGAAAUGACAACAUAAUAUUACAGGACUACAAUACAAAUAAAAAGGUGACCAUAUUAGACAAAGUUAUUCAUGAAAUACAUGUAUAUCUACUUAUUUAAGAUAAAUGACUCUCAAAAUUUUAUUAGUUUUUUUCAUGCUUUCGUUUUUACGGAAAAUCUGUAUUUUCUUUAUUCAUUUGUUUAAAUCUAUCAGGCUUACCAAGGAUCAAUGUUAUUCAAAUAAUGAUAUUGUCAAAGGCAAUAAUAUGAUAGUCGGGUGUCAAAAGAAAUAAAAUUAUACUACAAAUAUCAAAUGCAACAGGAUAAUAUGUUUUGAUUAUUUUUUAUUUUGAUAAAAGACAAAGAGAAUUGAUUUGUUAUGUCAUGUUGAUUACUAAGUAUUUACAUUUCGUGAAAUCUUCAGUUGUUCAAUUAACAAAACAAACACCCACUUAUUAAGAAAACACAAAUCUAGAGUAAUAAUUAUAAUGAUAUUAAUGUUAUAAACUUAGAUUUACCUCAUAUAAUUAUUACUUAAGUCUUAUGUAUCACAGCUCUUGAAUCAAGUAUAUGGAAAACAAUAUGACAUUACAUUGAACGGCCUUUGAUUACUGCAAUCCACACUCUAUUAUGUUCAAUAAAAUUGAGAAUGAAAAUGGGGAAUGUGUCAAAGAGAGAACAACCCGACCAUACAGCAAACAACAGCCGAGGGCCACCAAUUGGUCUACACUGCAGCGAGAAACUCCCGCACUCGGAAGAGUCCUUUAGCUCGCUCCUAAACAAAUAUGUAUUCUAGUUCAGUGAUAAGGCAAGAGGCUUAAUAAUUGCGACAGGCGCAAAAAUGCGGCAGGGUUAAAGUUAUUUUCAAAUCCUAAAAUCAUAACCAGUAACCUUCAAUUUAAGAUGAUAACUAAUAGACAUUUCCUUGUGCCAUUAACCGUUCAUAAUCAUAUAUUUUGGGAUGAUAAAUCAUUGAUUUAACCUCAUCAAUGGUCAAUAACGUAUAGUAUUGACAUUCCUAGACUGCAAUAAACCUACAUGUACAUAUGUAAUGAAUUGUAUCAAUUACUUAAUCAUUUAUACAUUAGUAUAAAUUAAAUGAUAAUAAUGAGGAUAUGCUUCGAACAACUCGGUUAUACUUUAUCAAGUAAAGAAACAAUUAUAUGAUCACAAUAUAAUGUCAGGUGUUCGGAUGGUCAACAUGCGGAAGUGGAUUGCCUUCUACUAGGUUGUGUUUUUGAAAAUCAUAUCAUACUUAUACUAAGUGGUAAUUCAUAGUUUAUCAUAUUUGCAUGGUUGAAAUUUUCAAAUGUUAAUGUUAUUAAAUAAAUACGUAUUUAGAUAGAUGAAUUUAUCAGAGCCUUCAAAGUGGUUAGUAUAAGUAUCAAGAUUUGUUAGGUAUGCUUUAAACCAAGAGUUCCAAAUGGUGAAGUUGAAAUCAUCCCUUCGUAAAUUUUACGGACGCCAUCAUGAGUUGGUUGACCGUUAUGGAAUAACCGUUUCACAAAUGAUAUCGGAUAUGUUCCUUACGUCGUAACUACAAUCCCCUUUCCUUUCAUGAAUAUGACCUACCGAAUUAGACUAUUUACCGGAUUUGUAAUCACUUAAGCAACACGACGGGUGCCACAUGUGGAGCAGGAUCUGCUUACCCUUCCGGAGCACCUGAGAUCACCCCUAGUUUUUGUGGGGUUCGUGUUGUUUAUUCUUAAGUUUUCUAUGUUGUGUCGUGUGUACUAUUGUUUUUCUGUUUGUCUUUUUUAUUUUUAGCCAUGGCGUUGUCAGUUUGUUUUAGAUUUAUGAGUUUGACUGUCCCUUUGGUAUCUUUCGUCCCUCUUUUAUGGGUCAUUGUCUGUACGAUAGUCCGUAUUUUCAUAUCAUUAACGGCCAUAGGUUCAGAAACAAUCUUAAUGAUAACACUUUUUUACAAAAUCUUACAGUAAAUUAUGGAAAUAAUGUUAUCGAUAAAAAGUAAAAUCACAAAAAUAAUGAACUCCGAGGAAAAUUAAAAACGGAAAGUCUUUAAUGAAAAGGCAAAAUCUUCUUGAUAUUUUACCAAUUCCCAUGAUAUUAUCAUUAAGACUGAGACCGUCCGCUGUUUUUUUUAUCUAACUUAAUUAGAUUAUUUUCCGAACCUCUAAAGCUUGAACUGUUAAGACUUUAAUAUGGUGACCUUUUUCCUAAGGUGUUUAUAAAUGAUGGUUUUAAAUGUAUUUGGUUUUCUAAUACAAUUAAGGUGUUGUUGUGAUUUUUGUUAUAUAAUAUUUUACAAGCUUUUUCUUUUUGUUGUUCUUUAAGACCUGUCAAAGAGUACUUUCGAUUCACGAUUAUCUAAUUUACCAGUCCUGAUGAUGAAGGAUUACAUCUCUGACAAACAAGUGACAUGCUCUUUUGUAGGAAUGUAAUAACUUCAGUUAACCGAUGAACAAAGACAAAUCAAUUAGAACAACAAAUAGCAAGACGAUUACCACACUAUUGACAUCAAGAUAACAGGUGCCGAAAUUACAAGAAUUUUCCUGCAAAUGGCUAAUGCACCAGCUGUUAUACCAUGAGGUCCAUGAAUAUGACAGUUGUUAUCCAUUCGUUGUUAUUAUUGCUUUAUUAUAAUUUUUGCAUACUGUGUACGACAAAAUUAUUUUAUAUCUCUACCUGUGUGACGUUUCCAUUUUGACGUCAAACGAGUGAUUUAUCCCAGAGUUGAUGUUAAUCUAGCCCUUUUGGGCACUGAACUUAAAAUGUUUCAAUCCUUUAUGGGUUGAUUUAACAUACAUUAUUAAAAUACAUAAUUUAAAUAUGACGUGCUUUUUUCGUUUUGUGAAAAAAAACCAUGCUCUUAAUCAAAUAAAAUUUGUUUGCACAUGCGUAUAUUGACUACUGCAGAAUACUGAAUUUUAUCACAGUGGCAUGCAUUUAAUAUAUUUCAUUAGCUUAAAACACUUACAAGCUCUUAAUAAUGCACAUGUUGUUUGUUACUAAUUCAUUUAUCAUGUCUGUCACGUGUUGCCAUUUGAAAUUGCCAUAUUUGACCUGGAUACGACAACCGUUCAUGUUGGCUGUUCAAAACUCCUCCCUCGGAAAAAUCACAUUGACAGUCGUUUGCAUGUUUACUAACAAAAAAGGGAGGUUCAUGGAAGAGCCUACACAAGCUCUAAACUUCGUCGCUUGGGCAAAAAUAAUCACUAAUAUGAUGCCUACCCAUGUUAAAACUACAAUAAAGUAUAGCUUGCUUCAAUUAUUUCUUAAAUAAGCUUACUUAUAAGUAAGCACUGAACGUGGUUAUUAAGUUUGAUAUAUGCUUUCUUGUGCUUCUUAGUUAAAUAUUUGUUUGUUUUUGGUCGGAUUGAUAUUGUACCCUAUUUUGACAGUUUUACCUAUUAUAAAAUAAAAUUGAGAAAGGAAAUGGGGAAUGGUCAAAGCGACAAAAACCCUAAAAUAGAGCAGACAACAGCCGAAGGCCACCAAUGGGUCUUCAAUAAAGCGAUAAACUCCCGCACCCGUAGGCGUCCUUCAGCUGGCCACUUUAAAAAAUAUGUAUACUAGAACAGUGAUAAUGGACGUCAUACUAAACUCCGAAUUAUGCACAAGAAACUAAAAUUUAAAAUCAUACAAGACUAACAAAGGCCAGAGGCUCCUGACUUGGGGCGCACAAUGGCGGCGGGGUUAAACAUGUUUAUGAAAUCUCAACCCUCCCCCUAUACCUCUAGCCAAUGUAGAAAAGUAAACGCAUAACAAUACGCACAUUAAAAUUCAAAUAAAGAGAAGUCCGAGUCCGAUGUCAAAAGAUGUAACAAAAGAAAAUAAAUAAAAUGACAAUGAUACAAAAAUAACAACAGACUACUAGCAGUUAAAUGACAUGCCAGCUCCAGACCUCAAUUAAACUGAUUGAAAGAUUACGUCUUCAUCAUAUGAAUAUCAGGCACAAUCCCUCCCGUUAGGGGUUUAGAAUCCUACUUUCAUAAAAUAUAUGAGAAGAACAUAACCCGUGUCAUGCCAACAACUGUUUUUUUUUUAAAUAAAUGUGUUUAGUUCCGAUGCAAAGACCCUUUAAGUGAAUUAAUAUCAAAACCAAAAUAUGCAAUCUUUUAUGACCUGAUAACAGUAUCGUAACUAUAUUCCUUCUUAAGAAGUCUGUUUAAAGGUUUUGUAAGCUUUUGAGGUGAAUACUGACAUUUUUGUGCUUUGUAAAGAAUAUUACUAUAAAAGAUUGGAUGUGGAAUACUUGAACGCAUAAGAUAUCUGCAUGUUGAGUUAUAUUUACGAAUUAUUUCCUUAUACCGAUGAUAAAAUUUAGUAAAUGUGUUGACUAGUUUGUGAUAUCGGAAACCCUGGUGCAAAAUUUUUUCGGUAAUACAUAAAUUUCUCUCGCUAAAAUCUAAUACGUUGUUACAUACACGAUCGAAUCGUACAAGUUGAGAUAUAUAAACACCAUAAGAUGGUAACAGGGAAAGUCACCAUCUAGAAAUGGAUAAUUAACGAUAGGAAAUGAAAAAUCAUGUCUGUUUUUUUCAUGCAUCGUUGUCAAUAUCAUUGAAUUGAAUGCGACUGUCGUACAAGUGAGAAGUUUUGCGCUAUUAAACCAAAGUUCAAUCCACCAUUUUCUGCAUAAGAAAAUGCCUGUACCAAGUCAGGAAUAUUUCAGUUGUUGUCCAUUCCUUUGAUGUGUUUGAGCUUUUGAUUUUGCUAUUUGAUUAGGAACUUUCUGAUUUGAAUUUUCCUCGGAGUUCAGUGUUUUUGUGAAUUUACUUUGUACUGUACUUAAUCUUUUUUUCAACAUUUUGUUUUUGAUUUGUAAAACCGUAGUCAUGAAUCAGCUCUAAUAAAAACAUUCGGUUAGAAUGGUUGUUAAUAAAUUCAUCAUAGAUACCAGGACCAAAGUUUUACGCUUACGCCAGGCGCGCAUUUCGUCUACAAAAGACUCAUCAGUGACGCUCGAAUCAAAUAAUGUUUACAAGGCCAAAUAAAGUACGUAGUUGAAGAGCAUUGAGGACUAAAAAUUCCUAAAAGUUUUGCCAAAUACAGCCAAGGUACUCUACUCCUGAGGUAGCAUAUAUUCAAUUAUAUAAAAAAAAGUUACCACAGCGUUCUUACUUGUGUAAGUAUUAUAUUAUGGUGUUAUGCUAUCGUAUUCAGCCAUUAAAACAGUUUCAGAUUUGUAUGAAGGUCCUGUUUAGAGAAGAAUACUAGUAUAUAAAACAGUUAUCACAUUUUUUUUAUUAGGUUUAGUAUAACAUAAUGUUGUUGUUGUUGUUGUUGUUCUAUCACAAUUCGCUAUGAAAGCCGAUCCAGAUCUGCAUUUUGGUUCUGCUAAAACAAGGAAAAAGCUUAAUACGUUUUCAUUUUAAAAUCUAUAAAUUUACACACCAUCCGGGCUUCAUCAAAUAAUGGGCGUCACUGAUGUUGACGCAACGCGAGUCUGGUGUACAUACUUGUAAGCCUGGUAUUAUUCAUUUUUUUGUAUACCCAUCCGACUAGUGAACUAGGGAAUAUAACAAGAGGUUAUCACUGUCGAAUGAUAAUUUUCAAAUAUUCAAAUGCAAUCUUGUUCCUAUAAUCAUAUUAUGUUUUUUGUUUAACCUAUUUUUUAUUAACUUUAUGUUUGAAAAUUAUAUUGUAAUUAUUCUGCUCAUUUUGGGCGCCAUGAUUGGCAAAUAAAAUAUUUGUUUGUUUGUUUGUUUGUAUAUCGUCAUUUAUCGUAUGCUUAUAGAAAACAAUAGAAUUAUUGUACCCCAUGAUAAAAUGAAUUUGUACAGAUAUUUAUUCAUUGAAUUUGAAGAAUUGCCUUAGCAGUGUGGUAUGACUUUCGUUAUCAAAUGGGGUUUUUAACAUUAAAACUCAGAUUGACAUCGUUACUUUCCCCUUUCGAUAUCAAUAUGGAAAGAUCACUGUGUUGAUUUGGAGAGUUCAAUUCUAUAAAUAAUCAACAGUAAGUUUUAAUAUGUUUUUAUUUUAUAAGAGGCAAUGACUAUGUUACAACCUAUUAAUGUCUUAGCCUACACUUUGCCGAAAUAUUCAGUUGUUCAAGCACCUUCUUCUGAAAAGAAAACAACAACAAUUAGUAUAUAUUUAGAUUCACAUUAUGUAAUCAAUAGUUUAUAUUUCAUAGGACCUUUGUGUAUUGCAAACAACACUCAAUUUUUUUAAGGUCCUCUUUUGAAAAUCAAAACGAGUAAGCUUCAAAUGAAAAAAAGUCUAGGCAACAGUUCGGGAUUUUCAAAUGCAUAAUCAUUAUAACAACUGAUUAUUGGUAUUCGUACAUUUGUAUCUUAGAAAUUUUCUAAGGUUGUAUGACUUCACUCGGAAAUCUUUCUAAUUACUGUCAAACACUUGAAGUCACGUAUCUCAAUGACAGACAUUAGGAGACCAAACAGCAUCUACACAUUAGAAAUAAAUAUAUCAAUGAACCAUUCCUGUAUUUUCUGCACUCUACAUCGUUUUCCAAUAAGUUAUAAUGUUGUGAUUUUACCAUGUACCAUGCACGUCGUCUGUUUAAGAGUUAGAAUUAAAGAAUACGGAUAUAUUUCAAAAAUAUGUACACCGUAGUCCUGCUUGUAAAAUCGUGUUCAGUUAUUUUUAUCAGAUAGUUAAAGCUCGGUUGAAAGAAACACCAACUUUGAAAUAAAUCGUUCUUAAAGAUUGAAAAUAAAUGGUAAUUAGUACAUAUUUGCAUUGGUUUUCUCGGAUACUGUUAAUAAAAUAAACGUUUGUUGACUAUACGACACCAAAACACAACUCAUAAUAUCCUAAAACAUCUCUGUUGUGAUAAAAGUGAAAAGUGACCAGAAUGAGACAUCGAUUGGCACUGGCACAAAAGCAGUUUAUGUCUUAUCUGAUUAUAUAUCAAAUGUUCUUAUAAUGUAGCAAAUGUUGAGGAUACAAUCUUUUAGAAAGCAAAUCGGUACUAGAUAAAUAAAAAUCAAUUAGCAUUUAAACAGUAGUGACUAGUACUGCAUGCCGUUGGAAGGUGAAAAAUAAAUAAUGAAGAAGUAAAGUUAUACUAUCUGCGUUCGUCAAUUAUGAAUAGUGUUUAUUUGAUAACAUUGUACCAGAGCUUGAUAUGUAUAAAUACGUUAAAAACCAUGCAUUUGUAAAUUUGAACAUUUUUUUUCUAAUUAAUUUCUGUAAUUUUUAAUCAAACUAUUGAGUAUUUAUUAUGAAACCAGACAAGUGGAAAGUUGUUUAAUUGGCAAUCACACCACAUCAUCCUUCAUGUAGACUAUACUGAAAAAUGUCCGACAUCCAAAAAUAAAAUUACAAAAAAUACCGAACUCUGGGAUGAAAUUCAAACGGAAAGUCCUUAAUCAAUUGACAAAAACAAAGGCUCAAAAAAAGGCUCAAACAAAGGCUCAAACACAUCAAACGAAUGAAUAACAACUGUCAUAUUCCUGACAUGGUGAAGACAUUUUCAUGCAAGGAUCAUGUUUAAGCUCAUGCGACGUCUAAAUAAACUGAAACGUAACUAAACAUAUGGACGCCUACGUUCUUCACUAAUACGAAAAGUCAAUGUUACGUUAUAAUUGCAUCAAGUUAAACAAAAACAUAUAAACCAUAGUUCAAAAUAAAAUUUAAAAAUAUAAUUCAAUCAAUGAAUCAUUUAUUUCACAAAUUGCAUAAUAAACCGAAAGAGUGAUUAGGGAGAAAAAAAAACAGUUAAUGACAUACAAAUUAUUCUCUUGAUUAAAACCAUGUUGCCGUUGAUGGGUCUUAAUAUAUAAAAUACGGCGUACUUUGAUAUGUGUUUUGAUUGCAAGUACAACAUAAAUAAAGUAUUCGCGGUAACAUUACCUAAGCUAGAGGAGAAAUCUGAUAUAGAAUGAAAUUCAAAACAGUGUGGCUGUGGCCAUUGAUUGACACAUUAAAUUCAUCCAUUGACUGGGACAAUUUAGGUGAACGUUUGUAUGCUUUAACUUGGCAUUUGUUCGGCUUUAUAAAUAUUUUGAUAUGAGCGUCACUGAUGCGAUUAAUGUAGACGAAAAGCGCGUCUGGCGAACUAAAUUAUAAUUCUGGUACCUUUGAUAACUAUUCCAACAUAUUUAUUAAUAAUUGACCAUUAUAAAAGUUUUAACUAUUAAGGAAAUAUAGAAAAAAAGAUAUUCAAAUAUUCAAAUAUGCUAUACUGACACUAUGCCUUAUUCAACUUAAUCAAUUGUAAGGUUUUUAACGUGCCUCUUAUUAAAAAAAAACCGAAAACAGUAAUUGCUAUUUGAAAUUUACCAUAGUUGAAAAGCAGUUGAUUACUUGCUUUUGUUAUGAUUGGAUUGUUUGACCUCAUAUAAUGUUGUUUCGAUAAAUAUUUUCAUUUACCCAAUGGUUAACCAGAAAUUACUUAAAACUUUCCUUGUGAAGAGAUUACGCAAUUAAACACAGAUGUUAAAAUAUUAUUACAAUUGAUUAUAGUUAUUUCAUUCUAGUGCAGAAAAGAUAAACACUUAACCUAUCCAUUUUUUUGUAGUUUUUGAUUAUCUGGGUUUUUUUGUGUUGCCUGUUGACUUUGCAAAUCAUAUUUAAUAUUUAAUUCAUAUAGACGUUGCUGUAGAUGAGCCGCAUUUCUUUACUAAUGUUGCAUUUACAUAAUUUUCAUAUUGACCUUCUAACUGAUUUUCAUAUAUUUUGUUUUCAAACCAUUCAACCAUAAUUGCAUGCAAUGCAAGCUCUAUGCGACACAAAAAUAGCAAUAUAUGAUUUUUAUUGUCAUUCUUUUAGUCUUCUUUUCGAAGUGGUCCCUGUCACCAAGUUGUCCAUGUAUCCCAACUACUGUUUCACUAGCUUACAACACUGAUAUUGGGACUUUGAACCCCGCAUGUGGCAAAUAUGCUCAACUCCCAUCGUAUCUGAUUAGUCAGGAUUGAUAGUUUUCCUUCCUAAGAUCGGUGUAAUUGAAUGACUUAUACACAUGUAUACAAUGUGAAUAACGAAUACUAAUGUUAGAUGUUGAAAAAUAACAGAUAUAUACAUUUUUUCUUCGAACUUCUAUCGAGAGGCAUUGUUAAAAACUUGAAUUACUUUUAAAGGUAACCUAUACACAACUUGUGGCGGUAUUUGCUCUGUCGUGUCAUAUGUAUUGUGUAGUGUUUUUUUUUAUCAUAAAUGUUUACUAUCUUUUGCCAUAAAAUUUACAUGUAAACAAGUAAAGGUCUAUAUCCUCCCGGUUUUGAUUCGGGGAAUCAAAGCGGACUGAUUUUGUCCAAAGUAUUAGUAUUCUACCAAAAUUUUCAAAAAAAAUACAGGCGGACAUAGUUUACAUGGGGAAAAUAUUGAUCAUUCCAUGUACAAGUUUAUUUUGAGGUGAAACAAUUUGUUUAGAGUCUUUUAACGUUAAAAACAAUCUAGUGCAUACACAUGAUAUUACAAUUUUGUAUUUUUCUAAUAAGAUAGACCUAAUAUUUUUCAAAUAAUUAUUCCUUUAACGGGACAUCUUAAUAUUACAAUUUACUUGCAUAUAUACUGGUAAAGGUAUCUUAUCAUUCGUUGAUCAGGAAACGAUCUUAGAAAACGACGUUAGGUGGAAGGAGGGUUGUCUCAUUAGCAAUCAUAUCACAACUCUUUAUAUCAUUUUUUCCAAAUUGUUAAAAUUAUAUAAACGAAGGAGAACGAUUUUUUGCUGUCAGCAACUACUAAAGAUGUCUUCUAUUUCAAUAUGAAAUUUGACCGAUUCUCUUUGAAUUAUAAGGUAAGCUUACUAAUUAAUUACAACAUGUAAUACAGUCAUUUAUAAUAAGCGUAACCACAACUGUGCUUCAUACACCUUCGCGUAGGAAUGAUAAAAUACAAACAAAACGUGUGUCUACCAAAUUAUAAUCAACAAUAAUCUCUACCUUUUUAUCUGCUUCUUUUAUUUUAUUUUACUAUAGGUUGAUUGUUCUCAUGAUGCAAGUUAUCAAAUAUAUUUGUUCUACAAUCACUUGCAUCUACAUAAACAACAAACCACGUGUCUUUUUACCUGGUAUAAUUACUCUCUGUUUUCUUUUGCAUAUACGCAAAACAAUUUAAACAACCACAUCAACAUUCGGAAGUUAGAUCUAAAAUUAUUGAAUGGAAAGAAAAACUUACAAAGUAAUUGGCAAGAUAAGUGAUGGUAGGUUUGGAGAAAUCUAUAAAGUAAGUUCGCCGGCUACAGAUGAAAUACUUGUUCUAAAACUUUUGAAAUUCAGGGGAAAUUUAAAUGAACAAACGUAUAUUAAAAACGAAAUAGCUAGUUUAUAUUCUUUGAGACAUGAGAACAUUAUAUCUUUUCGAGAAGUUCUAGUGAAAAGUGAAGAAGUAAAUAUUAUAAUGGAAUAUGCGGACGGGGGAAAUCUUGAAGAUUUUAUUUCUGAACAUAAAACUUUAUGUAAUACAUUGGUUGUUGAUAUUUUCAUUCAAAUCUUAAAAGCAGUAGAUUUUUGUCAUCAGAAUUACAUUGCACAUAGAGACAUUACCCCCAGUAA
rnacentral:lncRNA from 1 species